rnacentral:rRNA from 1 species
AUGUUUGUGAUUUCCUUAUGUAUGAUGUGCUUAGAAUUGCUUGUAGAAAAGUUUGUGUGCCUAGAUCUAGUGCUAAUCUUAAUGUACAUAAUGGGGAUUAGGUUAUGCUUAAGAAAGCAAUUAAAGCUAAGUUACUUUAAUAGAAGCUUUUCGAAUUGUAGGAUGGCACCGUUCGUUUUCUUUGAAACUUCUGUUGAGGGGGCGGCGAACCGUGAACGCGAAUUGAUUGAGGAAAAGAUAAACUUGUGGAUCGAAGCCAUUGAUGCGUUGAAUGCGGAGUGUAGGGCCUUUUCAUAUAAUUAUUUCAAUAAAGACCGUUCCAAAAAUUUUAUAACAAAAAAGGAGAGGCUGAUGAAGAAGCUCAAGACGGCGGAAAAAAUUGUAGGCGUAAUCUUGCAAUGCAAAUUACAUUGUGUGCGACAACGGCAGAAUAUGCUGAGAUAG